ACGCGUGGAACCUUACCAGGUCUUGACAUCCCAUUGACCGCUAUGGAGACAUAGCUUUCCCUUCGGGGACAGUGGUGACAGGUGGUGCAUGGUUGUCGUCAGCUCGUGUCGUGAGAUGUUGGGUUAAGUCCCGCAACGAGCGCAACCCUUGUUCUUAGUUGCCAUCAUUUAGUUGGGCACUCUAAGGAGACUGCCGGUGACAAACCGGAGGAAGGUGGGGAUGACGUCAAAUCAUCAUGCCCCUUAUGACCUGGGCUACACACGUGCUACAAUGGACGGUACAAACGGUUGCCAACCCGCGAGGGGGAGCUAAUCCGAUAAAACCGUUCUCAGUUCGGAUUGUAGGCUGCAACUCGCCUACAUGAAGCCGGAAUCGCUAGUAAUCGCGGAUCAGCAUGCCGCGGUGAAUACGUUCCCGGGCCUUGCACACACUGCCCGU
rnacentral:rRNA from 1 species